CCUACGGUGGGCAGCAGUGGGGAAUAUUGGACAAUGUGCGAAAGCCUGAUCCAGCCAUGCCGCGUGUGUGAAGAAGGCCUUCGGGUUGUAAAGCACUUUCAGUGGGGAAGAAAGCCUUGGGGCUAAUACCCUCGAGGAAGGACAUCACCCACAGAAGAAGCACCGGCUAACUCCGUGCCAGCAGCCGCGGUAAUACGGAGGGUGCGAGCGUUAAUCGGAAUUACUGGGCGUAAAGCGCGCGUAGGCGGUCUGAUAAGCCGGUUGUGAAAGCCCCGGGCUCAACCUGGGAACGGCAUCCGGAACUGUCAGGCUAGAGUGCAGGAGAGGAAGGUAGAAUUCCCGGUGUAGCGGUGAAAUGCGUAGAGAUCGGGAGGAAUACCAGUGGCGAAGGCGGCCUUCUGGACUGACACUGACGCUGAGGUGCGAAAGCGUGGGUAGCAAACAGGAUUAGAUACCCCGGUAGUC
rnacentral:rRNA from 1 species